rnacentral:lncRNA from 1 species
AACUGCUAAAUAGUGAUAGAUGAUUAUAUGUAUAAAUAUAUUGUGGAAUUGAUUCGUGGGUAAGCAUCGAACUUGAUGGGGGCUGAAACUUUGUAUCUUAGAUGAUUGUUUUGAGGAUGAGACCUAGACUGGGACUGAGACGAUGGGUGGGACUGACGUUGCAGUUGGAUACUUGAGCUAAUUUAUCAAUGGAUGUAAGUGAGUAAACAAACAAGUAAUGACAACGGAGUGAUUAAAAAUAAUAUAUGUACCGUUACAAGUAAUGACAACGGAGUGAUUAAAAAUAAUAUAUGUACCGUUAGUUUGUCUUCAAAUUUUGGAUGUUUUAAACGAUUUACUAUAUGGUUAAGUUUUACUGAGGUCUCUUUUUAAGUGCAG